GUGAUGGUUCUACCAUACUUGUAACAAUAAGUAGAAUUUCCAGUUUAAGCUACAUGAAGUUUGCACAAGACUAGAUAAUUAGUCUAUUAGACUAUUACUUAUAAGGCCCUUAAUGGUUUAGCUCCUGCAUACCUAACUAGUCUUCUACCACGCUACAAUCCAUCAUGCUCCCUAAGGUCACAAAAUGCUGGACUUUUGGUAGUACCUAGAAUAGCAAAGUCCACUAAAGUAAUGCGCAUUAUUAUUCUUUAGCUUGGGUUCAACUAAUUAAUUUUACUUGGUUGGAACAGCAGCUACACUAAUUAUGUCUCUAUUUGUUUUUCUGUUUUGCCACACCAGGAUUUACAUAAGCUUCAGUCUGGAUCCAGUACACCUGAAAAGAGAUGAUGCAAACCCCUCAGUGUCAAGGCGCCGACCUGGGUUGAUCUGGCUCCCCCAUCACCUCUGGCUGUUGGACUCUCUACUGCCUGCCUCCUCCCUCCCAUCCCUUGCUGUUCUCGGUCCCCUGGUGUUCAUUGGAGAGCUGGACUGUCUUGUUGCUCUUGGACUGUUACUCUCUGCCAUUUGCUCUGGAACUUCUGGAACUGGCUUCUUAGAUGCCUCCUGUUGAGCUUACAUUCACUUCCAUGGACCUGGCUGGAAUCUCUCCUGGUUAUCCUCCGGACUGUGGCUUAGUUCCUGUUUUGUGUUUGAAACUCAAAUCUGUAUACAUGAAACUGAUUCCUUUUCCGUUACCACCCUGACACUCAGAGGACCUCCGAUGAUGCUAACCCUGAAACAACAUACAGAACUACCAAAUUUUGCUAUAAGUUUGAUUGGAUCAUAUAAUUGCUGUUAAUAGUGUUCAUCAUCUGUUUGGUUACGUCUUUAAUUGAUUUUUCCAUACAUUUCUGCCAUAUGCACAUAAACUGACAGUCACCACUGAUAAGCUACUACUAAAUAUUGUAGAAACUUAAUUUUCUGUAAAGUUGCUUUGCAAUGAUUUGUAUAAUAAAAAGAGCUA
ensembl:lncRNA